rnacentral:rRNA from 1 species
AAUCUGCCCUUCACUCUGGGACAAGCCCUGGAAACGGGGUCUAAUACCGGAUAACUCUCUCGCAGGCAUCUGUGAGGGUUGAAAGCUCCGGCGGUGAAGGAUGAGCCCGCGGCCUAUCAGCUUGUUGGUGAGGUAAUGGCUCACCAAGGCGACGACGGGUAGCCGGCCUGAGAGGGCGACCGGCCACACUGGGACUGAGACACGGCCCAGACUCCUACGGGAGGCAGCAGUGGGGAAUAUUGCACAAUGGGCGAAAGCCUGAUGCAGCGACGCCGCGUGAGGGAUGACGGCCUUCGGGUUGUAAACCUCUUUCAGCAGGGAAGAAGCGAAAGUGACGGUACCUGCAGAAGAAGCGCCGGCUAACUACGUGCCAGCAGCCGCGGUAAUACGUAGGGCGCAAGCGUUGUCCGGAAUUAUUG